GAGAGGAGAGAAAGUCCUCUCCUCUCCUCUCCUCCCCGAACCUGCGUCUGUUGGGGAACCGCGGCAGGAGCGGCGGACGCGCCGGGGAACGCGGGGAUCUUUCUCCGGUCGGAGCCGCGGGACGCUGCGCUCCGAGCUGCGCACGGAACCGGACCGAACCCGUGGGCCUCCGUUCUAAGGACGCGUGGAACUGUGGGAUUUUUUUUUUUUGUUCUGUUCCGCGGGUCGCCGCCGGAUGGGUCUCUGAAGCGCCGGGAUGCAGCCGCUCCGGGCCGCCUGGGCUCUGGCCGCCGCCGCGCUCUGCUGCCUCCUCGUCCUGCUGCUCCACGCACGGCUUCUCAGAGAAGGUCAGCUGGCAGCGGGCACCUGUGAGAUCGUCACCCUGGACCGGGACAGCAGUCAGCCGCGGAGAACCAUCGCAAGGCAGACCGCCAGGUGCGCGUGCAAGAAAGGCCAGAUCGCCGGAACGACAAGAGCCCGGCCAGCGUGUGUGGACGCUCGGAUCGUCAGGACCAAGCAGUGGUGCGAGAUGCUUCCCUGUCUGGAGGACGAAGGCUGCGACCUGCUGGUGAACAGAUCGGGGUGGACCUGCACGCAGCCCGGCGGCAGGGUCAAAACCACGACGGCUCUAUGACGCGGCCGGAGUUCCCCCUCAAAACCCGUUCAUUGCUGAGCCGGACAGACAUCCAAAACUUCAAGAACAGACUCGAACACAAACGAUGCAGCACCAUCAGGUCUCCUAACAGCAGUGGUGACGGACCCCCCACCCCCCGCCGGGGCGCGGACUCUGCAGAAGCCACUUCCUGCCCUGGCCCCGCCCACUGCUGUAGAUAAACCUGCUGUCUGUCAUCGGCCCAACGCGCUUGUCUGUCUGCCUGUCUGUCCGCUUUGAACUGGGCGGCGCCCCCUAGUGCCGCGCAGGACCCCGCAUCGGACGCACUGGGAGGCGUGGCGACCGGCGAUGGACGUCCCCCCUUCCUCUCCGUAAACCCCGCCCCCUCUGGACUGGCCCGUGACCCCGGGGACCCCCCGGGGCGCCGAACUGACCUUCCGCCGGAGUCCUUUUUUUUUUUUUUUUUUUUUUACAGACCAAAGAGCAAAAAGUAAAAGCGCAGACGGGAGGAACCCGGCGGAAAAAGUGACAUUUCUGCUGACCUGUGCAACACGAGACUAACAGCCCCCCCCUCCCCCCCGGAAGAACCUUUAACACUUCGCUGGCAUUUCUCCUUCUUUCUUGUACCGGGACGCCGGAGUUAUAGGAACUGUAUACAUAGAUGUAUAAAAAAACCAGAAAAUCACACGUGCAUUUUUUUCCAGUAGCAGCAUUUGGGACGAUUUGCAAUAAGCAUGGUUGGUUUGAGGAAAAAAAAAAAAAAGUUAAAUCAUUUAUCGGACAUUAAGCGAGAGUAUUAAAAACUGUCCUUUCUGUUUGCCAGAAGAGAGAGAAGGAGGGAACGAGAAAAAAAAAAAAAGUGUCAUUAAAUGUAUUUUGAAAGGUCUAAAAAAAAAAAAAAAGUUAUAUAUUUCACAGUUUUAUAUGUUGUAUCUUUGUAGAGAACUUUACUUAACAUGAAUAAUGUGGUGAAAUGGCAGUUCUAGGACGUGGAUAGGCUCAGCUUGUUUUUCGGCCCAUCGCCGCUCGACCGGCCCUCCUCUCGCGCCCACGUCGGUCGCGUGGGGCCGCGCCAUCUGCUACUCGCUGUUGUAGUUGUACAAACCGGUGUGGAAAUCUCACCGCUCAUUUUACUCUUUGAUCGAAUUUAUUUAUUUUCAUUAUUUUUAACAUUUUUAUUUUUUUGUGCUUGUGUUUGUUGCACAGUGUCGACCUCGGAGCGACGGCGUCGGGACGGGGACGGGGGGUUAGAUGAAAGACCUCGAGAAAAAAAAAAACAAAUCAUUUACAUGAAAUACUUUUUUAUUCUGAAAUAUUUUAAGAAUAAAUCGAUUAUGUGAAAAAAGCA
rnacentral:lncRNA from 1 species